rnacentral:rRNA from 1 species
UACGUAGGUGGCAAGCGUUGUCCGGAUUUAUUGGGUUUAAAGGGUGCGUAGGCGGCCCUAUAAGUCAGUGCUGAAAUAUCCCGGCUUAACCGGGAGGGUGGCAUUGAUACUGUAGGGCUUGAGUAAAGUUGAGGUUGGCGGAAUUGACGGUGUAGCGGUGAAAUGCUUAAAUAUCGUCAAGAACACCUAUUGCGAAGGCAGCUAACUAAGCUUUAACUGACGCUGAGGCACGAAAGUGUGGGGAUCAAACAGG